rnacentral:rRNA from 1 species
GGCUUGAAGAAGAAUAAUUUCAGGUYUGACCUGCCCAAUGAAUAGUUAAAUGGCCGCGGUAUAUUGACCGUGCAAAGGUAGCGUAAUCAUUAGUUUUUUAAUUGAGAGCUUGUAUGAAGGGUUUAAUGAGAAAAUAACUGUCUCUAUAGGAAUUGAUUAGAAUUUUAUUUUUAAGUUAAAAAGCUUAAAUAUUUAUAGAAGACGAGAAGACCCUAUAGAGUUUUAUAUUUUAAAUUUAAAUUAAAAUUUUAGACGAUGAAUUUUUUUUGCUUUAAAGUAUUUAGUUGGGGUGACAGAAAAAUUAGUUAAACUUUUUUAAUGAUUAAACAUUGAUUUAUGGGUUUUUGAUCCUUAUUUAAAGAUUAAAAGAAAAACUACCUUAGGGAUAACAGCGUAAUUUUAUUUAGAGUUCUUAUCAAAAAUAAAGAUUGCGACCUCGAUGUUGGAUUAAAAUGAAUUACUGGUGUAGUGGCUAGCUAAUUAGGUCUGUUCGACUUUUAAAAUUUUACAUGAUCUGAGUUUAAACCGGUGUGAG